CAUUAAGAAGCUAACAUGGACAUAGCACUAGCCUUUUAAGCUAGCACCGGUGACUACCAACCACCCUUAAUGG
rnacentral:tRNA from 1 species